CAGGGGAAAUCUUCUUUCUAGAAACCUGCUUAUAGUUUCUUAGAGUCCGCGUUGCCGGGGAAAUCAUCUUCAUCAAAAACCAGUUAUUUGCAGGGAAGAGAGUGGAAAUGAUAGACGUGGACAUCUUCAAUCUCUUCUGGUA